CCUGAUUGUGGUGAAGUGGAUGAUCCUAUGCUGCCGAGAAAAGCCUCUAGUGAGUGUUGUGGCGGCCCGUACCCUAAACCGACUCAGGUGGUCAGGUAGAGAAUACCAAGGCGAUCGGGUGAACUGUGGUUAAGGAACUCGGCAAAUUGCCCCCGUAACUUCGGGAGAAGGGGGACCUCUGCUGGUGAUGGGCUUUACGUUCUGAGCUGGUGGGGGUCGCAGUGGCCAGGGGGAAGCGACUGUUUACUAAAAACACAGGUCCGUGCGAAGUCGUAAGACGAUGUAUACGGACUGACGCCUGCCCGGUGCCGGAACGUUAAGGGGACCGCUUAGCCAGCUUCGGUUGGCGAAGGUGAGAACUUAAGCGCCGGUAAACGGCGGUGGUAACUAUAACCAUCCUAAGGUAGCGAAAUUCCUUGUCGGGUAAGUUCCGACCUGCACGAAUGGCGUAACGACUUCCCCGCUGUCUCAACCACAGACCCGGCGAAAUUGCACUACGAGUAAAGAUGCUCGUUUCGCGCAGCAGGACGGAAAGACCCCGGGACCUUCACUACAGCUUGACAUUGGCGUUUGGAACGUCUUGUGUAGGAUAGGUGGGAGACUGGGAAGCUGUCACGCUAGUGAUGGUGGAGUCAUUGGUGAAAUACCACUCUGGUCGUUUUGAACGUCUAACUCUGGUCCGUGAUCCGGAUCGGGGACAGUGUCUGGUGGGUAGUUUAACUGGGGCGGUUGCCUCCUAAAGAGUAACGGAGGCGCCCAAAGGUUCCCUCAGCCUGGUUGGCAAUCAGGUGUUGAGUGUAAGUGCACAAGGGAGCUUGACUGUGAGACUGACAGGUCGAGCAGGAGCGAAAGCUGGGACUAGUGAUCCGGCAUCGGCGUGUGGAAGCGGUGUCGCUCAACGGCUAAAAGGUACCCCGGGGAUAACAGGCUGAUCUUCCCCAAGAGUCCAUAUCGACGGGAUGGUUUGGCACCUCGAUGUCGGCUCGUCGCAUCCUGGGGCUGGAGUAGGUCCCAAGGGUUGGGCUGUUCGCCCAUUAAAGCGGUACGCGAGCUGGGUUUAGAACGUCGCGAGACAGUUCGGUCCCUAUCCGCUGCGCGCGCAGGAGACUUGAAGGGGGCUGUCCCUAGUACGAGAGGACCGGGACGGACGAACCUCUGGUGUGCCAGUUGUACCGCCAGGUGCACGGCUGGUUGGCUACGUUCGGAAGGGAUAACCGCUGAAAGCAUCUAAGCGGGAAGCUCGCCUUGAGAUGAGGUCUCCCACCCUGUGAGGGGGUAAGGCUCCCGGUAGAUCACCGGGUUGAUAGGCCGGAGGUGGAAGCACGGUAACGUGUGGAGCUGACCGGUACUAAUAGGCCGAGGACUUGACC
rnacentral:rRNA from 1 species